ensembl:snRNA U6 U6 spliceosomal RNA
GUGCUUGUUUAGGCAGCACAUACACUAAAAUUGGAGUGAUACAGAGAAGAUUAGCAUGGCCCCUGCGGGGGAAAAAGAUUACUCUUUGAUCCAAAGCAAUAAUUAUUU